AACAGCUGUUCACAGAUCAGUUGAGGGCGGGAACAGUGUACCAGUAUAAAUUAUACACGGACCCACUGAUCUGUCCUUUCCAGAGCCUUCUGCUGCCAGAUCAACAAGGUUUUACGGCGUUUCCUCUGUGGGAGAUGCUGUGGAAACUUGACUGGUCUUGUAGCACUAAUGUCAUCAUGAAGGAGGCGGAGUUGAAAUCCUUGCUGCCAGGGCGGGUCAUCUGGCCCAGUGCCAUUCAGAGGGGAAACCCUUUUGUUUGGUGCUGCUGUCCAGAUGCGCAGAGGCCAGCGCAGUCUGCGAAGCCUAACACCGCUGUGACGCCUGACAAUCAACGCGCAAAGCCUCAAAACUCUGACAAAUGCUACAAAACCGACCACAAAAAAACCAAUGCAUGUGAUGCUAAAAGUGAACCAAGAAAUCUCUUUAACAUGUUGCUGACUCCUAAAUAAAACUACAAAUGUAAAGUGAAGUGAAGAAGCGAAAUUUUGGUGAAACCUUUGGUUUCUGCAUUGCUUGGUUCGGUUGGUCCGGGGCCCAGCUGAUAAAACAAAAAGCCCCGGAACAAAAUGUAAAAACAAAAAAACUUCUAAAUAAAAAUAGUAAAAUCUGCAACAGAAA